UCUACGGGAGGCAGCAGUGAGGAAUAUUGGUCAAUGGACGAGAGUCUGAACCAGCCAAGUAGCGUGAAGGAUGACUGCCCUACGGGUUGUAAACUUCUUUUAUAAAGGAAUAAAACGAGGCACGUGUGCCUUUUUGCAUGUACUUUAUGAAUAAGGAACGGCCAACGCCGUGCCAGCAGCCGCGGUAAUACGGAGGAUCCGAGCGUUAUCCGGAUUUAUUGGGGUUAAAGGGAGCGUAGAUGGGUUGUUAAGUCAGUUGGGAAAGUUUGCGGCUCAACCGGAAAAUUGCAAUUGAUACUGGCAGUCUUGAGUACAGUUGAGGUAGGCGGAAUUCGUGGUGUAGCGGUGAAAUGCUUAGAUAUCACGAAGAACCCCGAUUGCGAAGGCAGCUUACUAACCUGUGACUGACAUUGAUGCUCGAAAGUGUGGGUAUCAAACAGGAUUAGAUACCCCUGUAGUC
rnacentral:rRNA from 1 species